CUUUACGGCCAUACCACCCUGAACAUGCCCGAUCUCGUCCGAUCUCGGAAGCUAAGCAGGGUCGGCCUGGUUAGUACUUGGAUGGGAGACCGCCUGGGAAUACCAGGUGCUGUAAGCU
rnacentral:rRNA from 1 species